rnacentral:rRNA from 1 species
UUUGCUAGAGAUAGCUUAGUGCCUUCGGGGACGUCUGAGACAGGUGCUGCAUGGCUGUCGUCAGCUCGUGUUGUGAAAUGUUGGGUUAAGUCCCGCAACGAGCGCAACCCUUAUCCUUUGUUGCCAGCGAGUAAUGUCGGGAACUCAAAGGAGACUGCCGGUGAUAAACCGGAGGAAGGUGGGGAUGACGUCAAGUCAUCAUGGCCCUUACGAGUAGGGCUACACACGUGCUACAAUGGCAUAUACAAAGAGAAGCGAACUCGCGAGAGCAAGCGGACCUCAUAAAGUAUGUCGUAGUCCGGAUUGGAGUCUGCAACUCGACUCCAUGAAGUCGGAAUCGCUAGUAAUCGUAGAUCAGAAUGCUACGGUGAAUACGUUCCCGGGCCUU